GUACACACCGCCCGUCACACCACCCGAGUUGGGGAUACCCGAAGCCGCUAGACUAACCUGCAAGGGGGGUCGGCGUCUAAGGAAUGCCUGGUGAGGGGGGUGAAGUCGUAACAAGGUAGCCGUACCGGAAGGUGCGGCUGGAUCACCUCCUUUCUACGAGA
rnacentral:rRNA from 1 species